rnacentral:rRNA from 1 species
UACGUAGGGGGCGAGCGUUGUCCGGAAUUACUGGGUGUAAAGGGUGCGUAGGCGGUCUGGCAAGUCAGAUGUGAAAUGCCGGGGCUCAACCCCGGAGCUGCAUUUGAAACUGAUGGACUGGAGUACAGGAGAUGCAGGCGGAAUUCCUAGUGUAGCGGUGAAAUGCGUAGAUAUUAGGAAGAACACCAGUGGCGAAGGCGGCCUGCUGGACUGUUACUGACGCUGAGGCACGAAAGCGUGGGGAGCAAACAGG